UUACGGUCACAUCACCUUGGAACGCCGCUUCUCGUACGAUUACCAAAGUUAAGCAACUUUAAGCCUGGUCAGUACCUAGAUGGAUGACUACUUAGGAAUACCAGGUACUGUAAG